UGGGGAAUAUUGCGCAAUGGGGGAAACCCUGACGCAGCGACGCCGUGUGAAGGAUGAAGGUCUUAGGAUUGUAAACUUCUGUCGAGAGGAAAGAAUAAAUUGACGGUACCUCUCAAGAAAGCACCGGCUAACUCUGUGCCAGCAGCCGCGGUAAUACAGAGGGUGCAAGCGUUAUUCGGAAUUACUAGGUGUAAAGGGCGUGUAGGUGGUCUAGCAAGUUGGAUGUGAAAUCUCGUAGCUCAACUACGAGCCUGCAUCCAAAACUACUUGACUUGAGUAUGAGAGGGGAAAACGGAAUUUCUAGUGUAGCGGUGGAAUGCGUAGAUACUAGAAGGAACACCGAUGGCGAAAGCGGUUUUCUGGCUCAAUACUGACACUAAGGCGCGAAAGCUAGGGGAGCAAACAGG
rnacentral:rRNA from 1 species